rnacentral:sRNA from 1 species
AUUCUGCCCAUGCGGGGAAGGAUGAGAAGCUUCGACCAAGGUUCGACUCGAGCGUCAGCGAGAGAGCGUUGCCGCAGGCAACGACCCGAAGGGUGAAGCGCGCAGCGCUGAGUAAUCCUUCCCCCACCACCA